GCCGAAGUGGCGGAAUGGUAGACGCGCUGGUCUCAAAAACCAGUAGGGGCAACCCUGUGUCGGUUCGAGUCCGACCUUCGGUACCA
rnacentral:tRNA from 1 species